rnacentral:misc_RNA from 1 species
GAUGAAGAACGCAACGAAAUGCGAUAAGUAAUGUGAAUUGCAGAAUUCCGUGAAUCAUCGAAUCUUUGAACGCACAUUGCGCCCCCUGGUAUUCCGGGGGGCAUGCCUGUCCGAGCGUCAUUGCAACCCUCAAGCGCGGCUUGUGUGUUGGGCUUCGUCCCCCCGUGGACGUGCCCGAAAGGCAGUGGCGGCGUCCCGAAUGGUGCCCGAGCGUAUGGGAACUCUCUUCCGCUCGAACCGGCCCAUUCGGCGCUGGUCGAACCCCAAUUUUUUUCCGGUUGACCUCGGAUCAGGUAGGGAUACCCGCUGAACUUAAGCAUAUCAAUAAGCGGAGGA